rnacentral:rRNA from 1 species
UACGUAGGGUCCGAGCGUUGUCCGGAUUUAUUGGGCGUAAAGAGUUCGUAGGCGGUUCGUUAAGUCUGAUGUUAAAGACUGGGGCUCAACCCUGGGAGUGCAUUGGAUACUGGCGGACUGGAGUGCAGUAGAGGCAAGCGGAAUUCCAGGUGUAGCGGUGAAAUGCGUAGAUAUCUGGAAGAACACCGGUGGCGCAAGCGGCUUGCUGGGCUGUAACUGACGCUGAGGAACGAAAGCUAGGGUAGCGAAUGGG